CAAGCGCCCGGACCAAAAUCCACACGUGGUUGACGAGGAGAAGGUUUAUCGAAAGAUUCGGCGGAUGCCUUCCGUUUUGUGCAGGCGAUAUUUCGACUUAAAAAGUCCGGGUAAUCGGAUAACAAAGAGCCGAA
rnacentral:ncRNA from 1 species